rnacentral:rRNA from 1 species
UCAUCGCGCUANAGCGAAUGGCUCAUUAUAUAAGUUAUCGUUUAUUUGAUAGUACCUUACUACUUGGAUAACCGUGGUAAUUCUAGAGCUAAUACAUGCUAAAAAUCCCGACUUCGGAAGGGAUGUAUUUAUUAGAUUAAAAACCAAUGCCCUUCGGGGCUCACUGGUGAUUCAUGAUAACUCCUCGAAUCGCAUGGCCUUGUGCCGGCGAUGGUUCAUUCAAAUUUCUUCCCUAUCAACUUUCGAUGUUUGGGUAUUGGCCAAACAUGGUUGCAACGGGUAACGGAGGGUUAGGGCUCGACCCCGGAGAAGGAGCCUGAGAAACGGCUACUACAUCCAAGGAAGGCAGCAGGCGCGCAAAUUACCCAAUCCCGACACGGGGAGGUAGUGACAAUAAAUACUGAUACAGGGCUCUUUUGGGUCUUGUAAUUGGAAUGAGUACAAUUUAAAUCCCUUAACGAGGAACAAUUGGAGGGCAAGUCUGGUGCCAGCAGCCGCGGUAAUUCCAGCUCCAAUAGCGUAUAUUAAAGUUGUUGUGGUUAAAAAGCUCGUAGUUGAACCUUGGGCCUGGCUGGCCGGUCCGCCUCACCGCGUGUACUGGUCCGGCCGGGCCUUUCCCUCUGUGGAACCCCAUGCCCUUCACUGGGUGUGGCGGGGAAACAGGACUUUUACUGUGAAAAAAUUAGAGUGCUCCAGGCAGGCCUAUGCUCGAAUACAUUAACA